rnacentral:lncRNA from 1 species
UGUUUUAAACACGAGUUCUAGCCAAUUUCUUUAAUUCCUUUCAUUUAGUUUGGAUGAUUUUGGAGAGCUCAAGGAGGGAUUUUCACCAAGCAACACUAGGUAAGUGAUUUAUUCCUAUUUUUGAGUUAAAUAUGUGAUCUUNNNNNNNNNNNNNNNNNNNNNNNNNACUGAUUUCGGGUUUUGUGUUUAAAAUCGAUAUUUUUCAAUUGGAAUUCAUUUAGCAUAAUUUGAUGAUAAAAAUCUGAACUUGGUAGAUUUGGAGCACUCGGAAGUUGGGUCGAGAGGCAAGCGUGUUGCAGAGUAGCUUUUCGGGCUAGUUCGAGGUGAGUAAUAAUUGUAAAUGAUGCUCUAAGGGUUUGAAACCCCGGAUUGCACAUCGUAGUGCUAUAUUGAUGUGAGACACACGUUUGAUGACGAGCGUGUGGUCGUAUACUAUUGGGGAUUGUGACUUGGCCCAUCCCGCAUUGAUGAUUUUUUCGCGUAUUUGACUGAGACUUAUUUGUUUUCAUUAUGCUUUGGGCUAAUUGCCAUAUUUGGGCUUCGUGCUAACUAUUUGAAUCCUUCGGGGAUUUUUACUACCAUUUCCUCAUUGUUUUGACUUAUUACUUGAACUUAGUCCUGUUAUUUUUCCACUGUUUUACUACUCAACCAUUUUACUCAGUUUUGAAAUUUAAAUGAUAUUCUAAAUGAUGUUUUGGGCUGAGAAAUAUUGUUUUACUAUUGCCCGAGGGGCUUGUGAUGAUUUUGGACUGAUUAAAGGUCGAGGGCCUAGUUGUGAGGAUACAUUGGUACUGAUAUGAGGCUGAGGGCCUGAGAUACUUAUAUACGCCACGAGGUGGCUUGAUUGAUAUGAGGCCGAGGGCCUAGAUUUGAUGUCACGAGAUGGCUUAAUAUUGCGCUUGGGCUGUAAGGGCCCCUCCCCGAGUCUGUACACCCCCAAUGAGCGCGAGUACCCAUUGUGAUUUGAUAUUGAGCCUGAGGGGCUAUUACUGUUUGGAUAUUGAGCCCGAGGUGCUGUUACUGUUCUGAUAUUGAGACCGAGGGGCUGUUACUAUUCUGCUAUUGAGCUUGAGGGGCUGGCUCUGUUCUGAUAUUGAGCCCGAGGGGCUUGUACUGUUCUGAGAUGUUGCCCGAGGGGCGGAUUUGUUGAUACCAUGCUCGAGGGGCGAAUUUCCAUUUUGUUACUCACUUGUAAACUACUUGUUUUACUUGUUGGAAAAAAAGGAUUUUCACUUGAUUUCUUACUGCUUUACUGUUUAAAGUGAUUUUCUGCUUCAGUAUGGAAUGCCUUGUGUUUUUACGCGAUUUCUUAUCUUCAGUCAUUAUUUAUAUUUAUUACUCACUGGGUCAGAGUACUCACAUUACUCCCUGCACCAUGUGUGUAGAUUCAGGCGUUGCUGGUUCUGCUCCUGAGUGCUGAUUCCUCCAGUUUCAGGCGGCUUUCAGGAAUUACGAGGUAGUUGUUAACGUCCGCAGCCCCGUGUCUCUAUUAUCUUGUCUUUUAUAUUCCUUACGGACAUGGUACUAGUUAUUGGAUUUAGCAAACUUGUAUUAUGACUCAUAGAUGCUCAUGACUUAUGACACCCCGGUUAGGGUUGUGUCGUGCUGGAUUUUCGCAUUUUUUUAUCUAUAUUUUCUGCUAUUUAGUAUUAUUGAACCAUGUUUAGACUAUAUUUGUGUUAAUUAACUGCUUUAAAAGAUGAUUUGGGUUAGACUGGUUGGCAUUGUCUUCACGAGAGGCACCAUCACGACCGGGUUCGGGGUUAUGGUCGUGACAAAUUGGUAUCAGAGCCUAGGUUACAUAGGUUUUACGAGUCAUGAGCAGGUUUAGUAGAGUCUCGCGGAUCGGUACGGAGACAUCUGUAUUUAUCCUCGAGAGGCUGCAGAACCUUUAGGAAAACUUCAUAUUCUUGAAUUCUUAUUGUGCAUCAUUGAUUCAGCUUGAAAUGUAACUCUUGAAAUUCCUUCCACGUGUUUGUAUGUGCACAUGGGCGCUCAGUAUCAGAUGUGCAUCAAUGGCUUGUUAUUCCCUGAUCGAGGGGCGAGAUGUAAUUUUCUGUGCGUUGAGGUUGGGCAGUCUGGAGGACUUGAGGUUGGAUUUUGCCUGCAGCUUGAGCACCGAGGUGCUGAUUGAAUGAGCGCGUGUAUUUGGAUUUAUAUAUUUGAUAGUGUCCCUAUCAAGGGAAGUGAUGACUGGAUAGCUAUGUGAUGAGUAUGAUGUGACUGCGAGAUGUGUUCAGAUUGUUCGAAUGUGGCAAAAAGAGGUUACUUAAGGGUAAAAAGAACUAUUAGGUGCUUUAUUUCCAUCUUGAUUUGAUGUAUAGCCCCGAGUUAUGGGAGUGUGAAGAAUCUUUUCCUGUUGUCUGGUUGGGAAGUAAAGUAGAUUUCAUGUCAUGAUAUGGGUUCAGACCCAGGAAGACUAAGUGAUUGUGUAAUAGUUAUGAUUAUGGAAGGGUAAAGAGAGAUACCAGUUUGAGGCGAAGCAGGUGGGUUAUCUCCUGCAGAUUGUUUUGAAGUUUGUGUGAUCCUUAUGUCGUUUAUUUUGGAGAUCUCUCUUACCAGUGGAAGAUAUGCGUUACAAUUGAGUCUGAGUUGCUUAAGAGAGUAGGCAUGUCUGUUACGUGGAUGAAUGCGAGAUUUGCAGAAGAUUUAAAGUACUAAAUGGUCUGUGUUUCACGAGCAUAUAAAGGACUGCGUUAAAUUUCUGUAUGGUAUUAUGGCGGUAAUAGAGUAUAUGCAUUAUGAGUUAUGGUGUGUUUUGGUCUGUGGCCUUAAGCCAAGUGGGGGAGUCUACUAUAGCUUAUUUGAUUGUAUAGUUAUGUGCUAUGUUGGUUCCAGUUUGAGGUGUAUGGGAGAAUCAGUUAUGGCCUACGAAGAUUGAGACCGAGGGUGGCUCGAGUAAAGGAAAUUUUUUGGACAAAGGUUAUAGUAUGCUUCAUAGGUAUGAGAAUCACAGAAUGUCUUGAGAUGUUGUUGGUAAAGGAUGUUCGGUGCAUAGGACAGGAAGUUGCUUGAUUGGAUUAAGGUGAGGCUACACUUUGCGGUGUAGGAGUGCUAAUGAGGCAGGUUGUUCGGUUCGUUUGAUCAGGCUAAUUGCAGUUUGAGUAUAGUGAAUGACUCUCGAUAAUUGUUUGAAAGUGUUCGAGAUUGUACAUGUAAAAAUUGGAAAUUUUCAAGUGUAUGAUUCGGCUAGAAAUUGAGGGUUGCAUUGGAGGGUGUCAAGAUUUGUGUCAUUUCUAUAUCAAUUAUGGGAUUCUAUAUAUAUCAGGGUUAGGAAGGUAAUGGUUCUAGAUUCGCAGAAAGUCUCGUCGGGGUAGGUAUUUUGAACGUGGUGCUUUUGGGAACAUUUAAGGAAGUAUUCAACGACUUAUGAGCCUUAGACGGUGUAGCUUUAUGCUUAGGUCUCGUGUGGUGAGUCUGGGUCGAGGAUUGUGAUGUGAUAGCAGGAACAAGUAUCAAGUCGAAGGUAAAUUCAGAGGAACUUGUAUAGAUGGGAUAGCUUAGUAGUAGGUCGGCUCGGUAUGGGAAAUGAUGUGAUGAGUUCUUUGGGUGCUUAUGAGGUAAAGAGUUUCUACAGGUGUUUCGCGACAAUGCUCUUGAGUUUUAAUGAACUGCGUAGCUUGGUUGAGUUAGAAAGAUUCGGUCCUGACAGUUUAGUUUGUGUAAAUGGAGUUCGGAGAGUUCUUGAUGGUCUCUGCCACGGUUAGAGAUGCGUGUUUUCUACGAGUGUGAAGAGCAUGGGAUGUGUAGUGAUUUUCUUCAAGAUAGGAUCAAUGGAAAGUUCUUGAUUAGUUGAGUACAUAGUUGCUUGUGGCUCGGAAGGGAUAUGAAGUUCUUAUGUGUUUGUCCCGGCUGUGAUGGUUGUCCUUGUGUGUUAUAAGAGGAAGUGGGUUAUUAUUGACCCAGGUAAAGCUAUUAGCCUAGUUCAGUGUGAGCGGAAUUGGCUUGAAGUGUGUGAAAGGAUUUAAACAGACUUAUGGGGCCCAUGUGAGUCAGAUGUUUUCAUUUCAGUAUAGCGCUCCUCAAGGAGGGGUGUGGAAUAUAAGAUGUUGUUCCGUCGUCAAAUUCAUGUAUAUUAUGAUUGUGUCGUGUGAGUUGUGAAACGGCUCGAUAGAUCCUUAUGUGUUGAGUCUCUAUGUAGUGAUGAUGUUAUGUGAGAAGGAGAGCUCUUGUGAUUCAGAGUAUAUAUAUCGCACCUCAGUUGUGCUCGAGUUUUGUAGCGUAUGGCUCUAUCGAUCUCCCCAGGAUGGUAUUAUGCGCUUAGCGUGCUUGUGACCGAUAUUCGGUAAAUUGUAAUGGUGAGAAAUUCAGCUCCGUGUAUAUCUCCUUAUGUGAAUUUUAUGAUUGGAUCAAGUGGCACGCCACCAUGGGUAUGUUAUUUAUAUUGGGUUGCACGCCGCAACAGGGUGAUAUUGAGUAAGGCUCCUAUAUUUAUUUUUCUUGUGUUUUGCUUCCUAUUUUCUAAGGAAAUCCAUGUUAGUUGCGUGAGAUGAGUAGUCCUUUCAUGAGUCAUUUCCUUAUGCAUCAUGUUCGAGUUGAGGCCUAUUGGCGCAUUGUGGCAUCAUGUGAGACUGUUGGUCAUGCCUUAGGUGACUUAUUGCCUAAGCAGUUCAUACUGGGCGAGACGAAAUUAUGGUAUCAGGGAUCGGUGCGAUAAGACUAUGUAGAAGUAUAUUACAGGACAAAUACCAUUAUUUGGUUCGUAAUGAGAUAAGGAUUUCAGUCAAGAUGAAACAUUCAAUGUUUGGUUAGCUUUGCAGUUGGUUAGAAAUUUCUACACAUCUCCUCCGUUUUGGUGGUAUUGCCAGCAUUAUAGCAGGAUGUAUAUAAUAUAUCAUAAGGUGCAUUGGGAGCAUCAGAUUCGUGGAAUUUUGGCUAUUAGGUUCAGGGAGUGUCACUGUGGUUAGAUGAUGAAUUAUGCGGCGCAUGGUGCUAAUUCAGCAAAUGUAUGCAGUCAUGUUUGGCACAUCGUGUGGUAGUUGAUAAUGUGUUUAUAUAUUGGAAAAAGGCCUGGCAGAGGAUUUCCGAUGUUGAAAACCUAGUUCUAAGGCCCAUCUUCCUAAAUAAAAGAGGAUAUCCUUAGAAUUGUUUGAGCAAGUGUACUCAAUUGGGUUGUGGUAGCAUGGGAAGGUGCACGAGGUAUUAAACAGUGAUUUCAGAUAACUCCAGAGCAGUUCUUAGCACGUUUGAGGACGAACGUAUGUUUAAGUGGGAGAGAAUGUAAUGACCUGACCGGUCGUUUUGAGCUCUAGCGCGUCGUUCAAUAGUUUGAGGCCAUGAACAGCUUCACUUCACGUAUUAUGACUUGUACGCAUGGUUGGAAUUGAAUUUCAGGAAAUUCGGAGUUGAUUUGGAGAAAGAAUUCUUAUUUCGUAAGAUUUAAGUUAAAAGAAUUGACUAAGAUUGAAUUUUUGAGUGAACGACCUCGGAAUCAGGAUUCGAAGGUUCCAACAGGUUCGUAUGAUGAUUUUGGACUUGGGCAUAUGUCCGGAUUAGGUUUUGGAACACCCUGGAAUGUUUCGGCACCUAUAGUGGAAGUUGGCAUUUUUGAAAGAAUUUCAUAAGUUUGGGUUGAAGUGCAUAUUAGUGUUAUCGAUGUCUGUUUGGGAUUCCGAGUCUGAGAAUAGCUCCAUAUGGUGAUUCUAGUGUUGGGAGCGUGAACGGAAGUGAAUUCAGAGGUCCGUGGGUCAUUUUGGAAUCAUUUGACUAAAGUUAGAAAUUUGAAAGUUUUGAGAAGUUUGACCGAGAGUUGACUUUUUGAUAUCGGGGUCGGAUUUCGAUUUCGGAAGUUGGAGUAGGUAUAUAAUAUCGAAUGUGACUUGUGUGCAAAAUUUGAAGUCAUUCCGGAAUAAUUUUGGUAAGGUUUGAGACACUUAGUCUCUUUUAAGGAAGCUUAAGUUGGAAAAGUCAACCGGAUGUUGACUUAUGUGUUAAAGGGCUUGGAUGUGAGUUCCAAUAGUUUGUUUAGCUUCGCUAGGUGAUUUAUGACUUAGGAGCAUGAUCGGAAGGAGUUUUAGAGGUUCGUAGUAGAUUUAGGCUUGAAUUGGCGAAGUUGAUAUUUUGGCGUUUUCCGGUUGAUAGGUGAGAUUUUGAUAUAGGGGUCGGAAUGGAAUUCCGAGAGUUGCAGUAGUUCCGUUGUGUCAUUUGGCAUGUGUGUGAAAAAUUUUAUGUCAUUCGGACGUGGUUUGGUUGGGUUUUUGAUCAAAAGAGUGAUUUAGAAGAUUUUGAAAUUCUUAGGCUUGAAUCCAAUGCGAAUUUGGUGUUGUGAUGUUGUUUUGAGCAUUCUGAAGGUUGGAACAAGUUUGAAUGAUGUUAUGGGAUAUGUUGGCAUGUUUGGUUGAGGUCCAAGUGGCCUCGGGUGGUUAAACGGACUAUUUUAUCUUUGGAAAAGUUGCAGAUUUUUUUAGCUUCAGUUGUGCACCAGAAAAUUUCUGGUGCGAGGAGUCCAGUUUGGAAGCUCAUAUCAUGAAAUCUAUGAGGAAUAACAAAAAUUGCAAAACAUAAAAGUUGUAGCCCUUGCAUUCUAGUUUCCAGAAGGUUAAACCAUUCAGGAUUUGGAUAUUCUAUCAGAAAGUUAUGACAGAUCGAAUAUGGCUGGUGGAUCAGUUUUGACAGAAUUUUCUGAUGCACUUUAUAAGAUCAUAUCUCGGAAUAUAUAAAGGGUUAUAUGGUGUACAACCUAUCAAAUGAAAGAUCUUCGAGUCUAGUUUUUAAAUUUUCAAACCGUUUGUCAUUUGGAUAUUUUCACAAAGUGUUAUAGGCAUUUUAACAAAAGGUGUACAGCAGGAAAAAUGGUAAGAGGAUGUACAACCUGCACAACGCAAGGUACACCUCGAUGAAGCCUGGGCAGAUUGUUUUAAACACGAGUUCUAGCUCAUUUCUUUCAUUCCUUUCAUUUGGUUUGGAUGAUUUUGGAGAGUUCAAGGAAGGAUUUUCACCAAAAAAUACUAGGUAAGUGAUUUAUUCUUAUUUUUGAGUUAAAUAUGUGAUCUUACAUGGAUUUAGAUAUGAAAAUCAGUAGAAAAAGGUGGAGUUAGGGCUUGAGAUUAUGAGACCUUCUNNNNNNNNNNNNNNNNNNNNNNNNNNNNNNNNNNNNNNNNNNNNNNNNNNNNNNNNNNNNNNNNNNNNNNNNNNNNNNNNNNNNNNNNNNNNNNNNNNNNNNNNNUCGAGUUUUGACUAAUUUCGGGUUUUGUGUUUAAAAUCAAUAUUUUUCAAUUGGAAUUCAUUCAUUUAGCAUAAUUUGAUGAUAAAAAAUCUGAACUUGGUAGAUUUGGAGCACUCGGAAGUUGGGUCGAGAGGCAAGCGUGUUACAGAGUAGCUUUUCGGGCUAGUUCGAGGUGAGUAUUAAUUGUAAAUGAUGCUCUAAGGGUUUGAAACCCCGGAUUGCACAUUGUAGUGCUAUAUUGAUGUGAGACGCACGUUUGAUGACGAGCGUGUGGUCAUAUACUAUUGGGGAUUGUGACUUGGUCCAUCCCGCAUUGAUGAUUUUUUUGCGUAUUUGACUGAGACUUAUUUGUUUUCAUUAUGCUUUGGGCUAAUUGCCAUAUUUGGGCUUUGUGCCAACUAUUUGAAUCCUUCGCGGAUUUUUACUAUCAUUUCCUCACUGUUUUGACUUAUUACUUGAACUUAGUCCUGUUAUUUUUCUACUGUUUUACUACUCAGUCAUUUUACUCAGUUUUGAGAUUUAAAUGAUAUUCUAAAUGAUGUUUUGGGUUGAGAAAUAUUGUUUUACUAUUUCCCGAGGGGUUGUGAUGAUUUUGGAGCGAUUAAAGGCUGAGGGCCUAGUUGUGAGGAUACACUGGUACUGAUAUGAGGUUGAGGGUCUGAGAUACUUAUAUACGCCACGAGGUGGCUUGAUUGAUAUGAGACCGAGGGCCUAGAUUUGACGCUACGAGAUGGCUUGAUAUUGCGCUUGGGCCGUAAGGGGCCCCUCCCGGAGUCUGUACACCUACAGUGAGUGCGGGUACCCAUUCUGAUCUGAUAUUGAGCCCGAUGGGCUGUUACUGUUUAGAUAUUGAACCCGAGAGACUGUUACUGUUCUGAUAUUGAGACCGAGGGGCUGUUACUAUUCUGCUAUUGAGCCUGAGGGGCUGGCUCUGUUCUGAUAUUGAGCCCGAGGGGCUGGUACUGUUCUAAGAUAUUGCCCGAGGGGCGGAUUUGUUGAUACGAUGUCCGAGGGGCGAAUUUCCAUUUUGUUACUCACUUGUGAACUACUUGUUUUACUUGUUGGAAAAAAAAGGAUUUCACUUGAUUUCUCAUUGCUUUACUAUUUAAAGUAAUUUUUCUGCUUCAGUAUGGAAUGCCUUGUGUUUUUAUGCGAUUUCUUAUCUUCAGUCAUUAUUUAUAUUUAUUACUCACUGGGUCGGAGUACUCACAUUACUCCCUGCACCAUGUGUGCAGAUUCAGGCAUUGCUGGUUCCGCUCCUGAGUGCUGAUUCCUCCAGUUUUAGGCGGCUUUCAGGGAUUACGAGGUAGCUGUUGAUGUCAGCAGCCCCGUGUCUCUAUUAUCUCGUCUUUUAUAUUCCCUACGGACAUGGUACUAGUUAUUGGAUUUAGCAAACUUGUAUUAUGACUCAUAGAUGCUCAUGACUUGUGACACCCCGGUUAGGGCUAUGUCGGGAUAGAUUUUCGCAUUUUUUAUCUAUAUUUUCCGCUAUUUAGUAUUAUUGAACCAUGUUUAGACUAUAUUUGUGUUAAUUAACUACUUUAAAAGAUGAUUUGGGUUAGACUGGCUGGCCUUGUCUUCACGAGAGGCGCCAUCAUGACUGGGUUCGGGG